rnacentral:rRNA from 1 species
UGCAGUCGAACGGCAGCACGGGAGCAAUCCUGGUGGCGAGUGGCGAACGGGUGAGUAAUAUAUCGGAACGUGCCCAGUCGUGAGGGAUAACGCAGCGAAAGCUGUGCUAAUACCGCAUACGAUCUCUGGAUGAAAGCGGGGGACUCGUAAGAGCCUCGCGCGAUUGGAGCGGCCGAUAUCAGAUUAGCUAGUUGGUGGGGUAAAGGCCCACCAAGGCGACGAUCUGUAGCUGGUCUGAGAGGACGACCAGCCACACUGGAACUGAGACACGGUCCAGACUCCUACGGGAGGCAGCAGUGGGGAAUUUUGGACAAUGGGCGCAAGCCUGAUCCAGCAAUGCCGCGUGCAGGAUGAAGGCCUUCGGGUUGUAAACUGCUUUUGUACGGAACGAAAAGGUCUGCCUUAAUACGGUGGGCCCAUGACGGUACCGUAAGAAUAAGCACCGGCUAACUACGUGCCAGCAGCCGCGGUAAUACGUAGGGUGCGAGCGUUAAUCGGAAUUACUGGGCGUAAAGCGUGCGCAGGCGGUUAUAUAAGACAGAUGUGAAAUCCCCGGGCUCAACCCGGGACCUGCAUUUGUGACUGUAUAGCUAGAGUACGGUAGAGGGGGAUGGAAUUCCGCGUGUAGCAGUGAAAUGCGUAGAUAUGCGGAGGAACACCGAUGGCGAAGGCAAUCCCCUGGACCUGUACUGACGCUCGUGCACGAGAGCGUGAGGAGCAAACAGGAUUAGAUACCCUAGUAGUCCACGCCCU